rnacentral:rRNA from 1 species
UACUUUUAAAAAAAGGAUUCCUCGAUCUGCAUAGGCNGGGUAUCCGCUGCGNGGCUAUAAACACUCGCACGAAAACGCACGAGCCACCUUCCAACACAGACUUCUCCCCCAAGCCGCAAACCGACGUGAGCCCCACGUGCACCCCACAGUCCCGGCGCGAACACCANAAGACAGGGCAACACCUUGCGGNACUGACUGCCAGCGCUUCCCUUUUGGCAAUUUCACGUACUGUUUAACUCUCUUUCCAAAGNUCUUUUCAUCUUUCCCUCACGGCACUUGUUCGCUAUNGGUCUCUCCCCAAUAUUUANCCUUGGAUGGNGUUUACCACCCUUCUUUGNGCUGCAUUCCCAAACAACGCGACUNGUCGAGCGNGCCCCACCAAACAGCGCUAUAGUCAGACCAAGCACGGGAUUUUNACCCUCUNCGAUGCUGCUUUCCAGCAGACCUGANGCCUAGCCGCCCUGCNCGAGGCACGUCUNCAGAUUACAAUGCGCCCUGACGGGAGCUUAUCAUUCUGGGNUCAUCCCGCUUUCGNUCGNCGCUACUA